GGUUGCUUUUGUUCCCGCAAAUUUGCGUGGAGCAUUGUUUUUCGGCGAAAACGGGGCGUUCGGCCUUCCUGCUUUAUUUUUGAGCGGUGUAAGAGGGAGGUAGUGGGUAUCUUCGAGAAACGGCCGCCGCGGGGUCCGGAGCCCCGGGUUCCAAUCCCGGGUCGGCCACUGCAAAGCUGUGUGACCUUGGGCGAGUCACUUGGCCUCUCUGAGCCCCAGGCGCCUCCCCGGGAAAAAGAGGGAUAUGGUCCAAGGUGCUGAAAACUUCCUAACAAAACUCUUCAGCCGAAUCUGGCACGCCUGUGGUUCCAGCUACUGGGUAGACCGAGGCAGGAGGAUCGCUUGAGGCCAAGAGUUUAAGACCAACCUGGGCAACAUGACCUAGGACCCCACGAGAGGAGGGAUCUGGAGGCCAAGCCAGGAGCAGGACAACACCAACAGAGGCCUCAGAAGAAGACUCAGAGUGGGACAGGGGCUCCUUAAGUGAUUGGGGCUGGAAGUGCGCAGAGAAGCCCGGCGCGGCAGGGAAUUGUCUCUCCCUGGGGUGCUGCCAAGG
rnacentral:lncRNA from 10 species